UACGGAGGAUGCGAGCGUUAUCCGGAUUUAUUGGGUUUAAAGGGUGCGCAGGCGGAUUUUUAAGUCAGCGGUCAAAUCGUGGGGCUCAACCCCAUCCAGCCGUUGAAACUGGGGAUCUAGAGUGUGCGAGAGGUAUGCGGAAUGCGUGGUGUAGCGGUGAAAUGCAUAGAUAUAUGGAGGAACACCGGUGGCGAAAGCGGCUCUCUGGCCUGUAACUGACACUGAGGCUCGAAAGCGUGGGGAGCAAACAGG
rnacentral:rRNA from 1 species